AAAUUGAAGAGUUUGAUCAUGGCUCAGAUUGAACGCUGGCGGCAGGCCUAACACAUGCAAGUCGAACGGUAACAGGAAGCAGCUUGCUGCUUCGCUGACGAGUGGCGGACGGGUGAGUAAUGUCUGGGAAACUGCCUGAUGGAGGGGGAUAACUACUGGAAACGGUAGCUAAUACCGCAUAACGUCGCAAGACCAAAGAGGGGGACCUUCGGGCCUCUUGCCAUCGGAUGUGC
rnacentral:rRNA from 2 species